rnacentral:rRNA from 1 species
AAUGAACGCUGGCGGCAGGCCUAACACAUGCAAGUCGAGCGAGCGGAGGAGGGGUGAGUAAUGUAUGGGGAACUGCCUGAUAGAGGGGGAUAAAUACUGGAAACGGUGGCUAAUAACGCAUUCUAUCGGAUGAACCCAAGUUGGAUUAGCGAGUGGGUGGGGAAAAGGGUUACCAAGGCGAAGAUCUCUAGCUGGUCAGAGAGGCUGAACAGCCACACUGGGACUGAGAUACGGCCCAUACUCCUACGGGAGGCAGCAGUGGGGAAUAUUGCACAAUGGGCGAAAGUCUGAUGCAGCCAUGCCGCGUGUAUGAAGAAGGCCUUCGGGUUGUAAAGUACUUUCGGUGGUGAAGCGUUACCCGCAGAAGAAGCACCGGCUAACUACGUGCCAGCAGCCGCGGUAAUUC